rnacentral:ribozyme from 14 species
UUAUUUUAUUUAUUAUAUUAUUUAUUAUUGAAGAAAAAAAAACACAGUGCCGUCGCCGAUUCUUUUUCUUUUCUCCUAGAGUAUAAUUGAAGAAUGUUUGUUCCCACACCACCAACCAACAACCAGACAAGAAGCAUCGAUUUUCUUUUGGGGAACAAAAAUUAAGAUGCCUCCA